GGAAAAAGACGGCCUGAGCUUCCACCUCAAUCUCUCCCUCUCCCCCCUCUCUUCUCUUCAUUACCUCUCUGCCUCUCAGCUCACUUUCUCUUCCCACGCCUCCUGAUUCCCACUCCAACCCCAGUUCUCAUCCGUCAUCUUCUCUUCUCCGUUCGGACAUUCUGGUUUAUGCUCUGGACCAAGCCUCACUGUGGGUGAACUGGGAUUUUCUGAGUUGCGAUGAAUGACUAUCCUUGAUUGUCGACUUGACUGCAUCUACAUUAACUGAAAACACAAGUCGCUGGGCACACCUGUGAGAGAUUUUUAGUUAGUUGGGCCAUUUGAGGUAAGAAGAACCAUCCUAAAUCAAGGCCAUACCUUCUUAUGACAUCCUAUAUAAGGGACAGGGAAGAGAGGAGCUUUAGCUGUCUGUCUGUUUACCCUCGCUCUCACUUCACUGGCGUCCAGGAUGAAUUCUUCAGGAUUCACUUCAUGGACUGAACUAGAUUCUUGAACUUUCCAUUGAGAGACAGCCAUUGUUGGAAUAGCUGGACCACAGCCCGUUAGGCACUGUAAAAAUCCCCUACACAAAUAGGUAGAUGAAUGGAUGGAUAGAUAGAUAGAUAGAUAGAUAGAUAGAUUCAUUCUUUCAGUUCUGUUCCUCUAGAGGUAUUUGUAGAAGAACUCGGCAACCUCUGCACAUUCACUAUUAGUCGAGGGUGGGAUUUGUUAAUGCAUUUUAUCUCUGUGACAAAGUGCCAAUGGAAAAUCGACUUAAAAGGGAAAAUUUGGCUUGUUGGGUCCUGGAUUUGGCGGCUUUGGUUCAUAGUCACUUGGCUCUGCUGCUUCUGGUUAGCUUGGUGAGACAGGACAUCAUGGGGGCACAGGAGGUUGGGCCGGGUGGCUCAUUCAUGGUAAGAAGGCUAAGAGAUGGGUGUCUUAGUUAGGGUCUUACAGCUGUGAGCAGACACCAUGAGCAAGGCAACUCUUAUAAGGACAACAUUGAAUUGGGGCUGGCUUACAGGUUCAGAGGUCCAGUCCAUUAUCAUCAAGGAGAGAACAUGAUAGCAUCCGGGCAAGCGUGGUACAGGAGAAGCUGAGAGUUCUAUAUCUUCAUUUGAAGGCUGCCAGGAGAAUAAUGGCUCCCAGGCAGCUAGGACAAGGGUAUUAAAGCUCACACCCACAAGGCUAUACCUAUUCCAACAAGGCCACACCUCCCAUCAGUGCCACUCCCUGGGCCAAGCCUAUACAAACCAUCACAAAGGAUUCAGGAACAGACAUAUGUUUCAGAGACAUGGCCCAGUGACCUGCUUCCUCCAGGGAGGUGCCCUCUUUGCAGACUGAUUCAUCUAUGAUAUUACCAACGGGCCCAUCCAUUGAUGGUGUUAAUGUCUUCACAGUCCAAUCAAUACUGUUGCCAUUUGGGAUCAAAGGCUUUAAGCCAUGCUCCUCUGUAGGGACACUUCAUAGCAAAGCCACACAGUAAACUGGAACACUCU
rnacentral:lncRNA from 1 species